ACCAGGAUGGCCGAGCGGUUAAGUCGUGGGACUUAAGAUCCUAUGGACGGCAGUCCACGUGGGUUCGAACCCCACUCCUGGUA